rnacentral:tRNA from 1 species
UCCCAUAUGGUCUAGUGGUUAGGAUUUUGCGCUUUCAUCGCCAAGGCUCGGCUUCAAUUCCCGGUGUAGGAA